rnacentral:rRNA from 1 species
UACAGAGGUCUCAAGCGUUGUUCGGAUUCAUUGGCGUAAAGGGUGCGUAGGCGGCGCGGUAAGUCGGGUGUGAAAUUUCGGAGCUUAACUCCGAAACUGCAUUCGAUACUGCCGUGCUUGAGGACUGGAGAGGAGACUGGAAUUUACGGUGUAGCGGUGAAAUGCGUAGAUAUCGUAAGGAAGACCAGUGGCGAAGGCGGGUCUCUGGACAGUUCACGUGACGCUGAGGCACGAAGGCCAGGGAGCAAACGGG